GGACUACUGGGGUAUCUAAUCCCGUUUGCUCCCCUAGCUUUCGCGCCUCAGCGUCAGAAGAGGUCCAGCACGCCGCUUUCGCCACCGGCGUUCCUUCCGAUAUCUACGCAUUUCACCGCUCCACCGGAAGUUCCGCAUGCCCCUACCUCCCUCGAGACCACCAGUAUCAAAGGCACUUUUCCGGUUGAGCCGAAAGAUUUCACCCCUGACUUGAUGGCCCGCCUACGCGCCCUUUAAGCCCAGUGAAUCCGAACAACGUUUGCACGGUUCGUCUUACCGCGGCUGCUGGCAC
rnacentral:rRNA from 1 species